ACGGGAGGCAGCAGUGGGGAAUAUUGGGCAAUGGGCGAAAGCCUGACCCAGCAACGCCGCGUGAAGGAUGAAGGUCUUCGGAUUGUAAACUUCUUUGAUUGGGGAAGAAUAAAUGACCUACCCAAAGAACAAGCCACGGCUAACUACGUGCCAGCAGCCGCGGUAAUACGUAGGUGGCAAGCGUUAUCCGGAUUUACUGGGUGUAAAGGGCGCGUAGGCGGGGAUGCAAGUCAGAUGUGAAAUCCAUGGGCUUAACCCAUGAACUGCAUUUGAAACUGUAUCUCUUGAGUGCUGGAGAGGUAGACGGAAUUCCUUGUGUAGCGGUGAAAUGCGUAGAUAUAAGGAAGAACACCAGUGGCGAAGGCGGUCUACUGGACAGUAACUGACGCUGAGGCGCGAAAGCGUGGGGAGCAAACAGGAUUAGAUACCCUGGUA
rnacentral:rRNA from 1 species